rnacentral:lncRNA from 1 species
ACUAGAGCACAGUUAUGUCUAUAGCUAUAGCUAGGUGCAAGAAUUUAUUAAUAAUUUGGUGGGUAGACAUCAAAUUGUGAUGCCAAAAAGAUAAUGAAGUGUGGAAAAUAGGGACACAUCAACUCAUAAACAAAUUCAAUUAUCCACCACUUAUAUAUACUACAUUCAAUAUAUAGUUUAGAUUAGUUCUUUUAGUAAUUUUAAAAAAUAAAAUAGCAGAUCAAUUCUUAAUUAGGG